rnacentral:rRNA from 1 species
UACGUAGGGUGCGAGCGUUGUCCGGAAUUAUUGGGCGUAAAGGGUGCGUAGGCGGCGCGGUAAGUCGGGUGUGAAAUCUCGGAGCUUAACUCCGAAACUGCAUUCGAUACUGCCGUGCUUGAGGACUGGAGAGGAGACUGGAAUUUACGGUGUAGCGGUGAAAUGCGUAGAUAUCGUAAGGAAGACCAGUGGCGAAGGCGGGUCUCUGGACAGUUCCUGACGCUGAGGCACGAAGGUCAGGGGAGCAAACGGG